rnacentral:lncRNA from 1 species
CCAUCAAUUCAGAAAACAAAGGCCGCUCAUCAAAUAUCAAAGGGACCGUUUCCAUUCCAACAAAAUCAACAUUGCCAAACUGAUCUUUCUCCACACUUCCUCCAUGAUAUAAGGUUACUAAAUUGUCCAUCUAAUUGAUAUACAAAACAACCAUAUUAAUAGGCAUACAACUAAUAAAAAUAAAACACCUAAAUAUUACAAACUAGAUUACAAACUAGAAUUAGAGAGCAGAGCCCCC